rnacentral:rRNA from 1 species
GCGGACGAACCUCUGGUGUGCCAGUUGUCGCGCCAGCGGCACGGCUGGUUAGCCACGUUCGGCAGAGAUAAGCGCUGAAAGCAUCUAAGUGCGAAGCUCGCCCCAAGAUGAGGUCUCCCACUGGGUCGACCAGGUAAGGCCCCUCGCAGACUACGAGGUUGAUAGGCCGGAGGUGUACGCGCGGCAACGCGUUGAGCCGACCGGUACUAAUAGGCCGAGGACUUGACUC